AUUGAACGCUGACGGCAGGCCUAACACAUGCAAGUCGAGCGGAGCGGCGGACGGGUGAGUAAUGCCUAGGAAUCUGCCUGGUAGUGGGGGAUAAAGUCCGGAAACGGGCGGUAAUACCGCAAAAUAUCAGAGGAACCUAGGUCGGAUUAGCUAGUUGGUGGGGUAAAGGCCUACGCAGGAGACGAUCCGUAACUGGUCGGAGAGGAUGAUCAGUCACACUGGAACUGAGACACGGUCCAGACUCCUACGGGAGGCAGCAGUAGUGAAUAUGGGACAAGGGGCGAAAGCCUGAUGCAGCCAGGCCGCGUGUGUGAUGAAGGUCUUCUGAUUGUAAAGCACUGUAAGUUGGGAGGCGUUACCAACAGAAUAAGCACCGGCUAACUUCGUGCCAGCAGCCGCGGUAAUAC
rnacentral:rRNA from 1 species